rnacentral:misc_RNA from 1 species
GAAAUGCGAUACGUAAUGCGAAUUGCAGAAUUCAGUGAAUCAUCGAAUUUUUGAACGCAAAUUGCGCUUUCGGGAUAGACCUGAAAGCAUGUUUCUUUGAGCCUCGUGUCUAACCCACCUCGGCUGCGUGCCGGAAAAUGGAAGUCUUGUUUCAUGGAACAAGUCUUCUUAAGUUGAUUGAGUCCAUGACUGCCCGCCUGGCAAUGCUUCUUUUGUUCAGCGGCGCGAUUGCAAGUGUAAACUUAAUCUCUCGUCGCUCUGCAUUGAUGCAGAACCUUUUGGUUGGUCAGAUCAAGGAUGAUUCGGAAAAACACUUUUGACUUAGAGCUCAAAUGAAGCAAGAUAACCCGCUGAACUUAA